GUGUUGGAAAUGUGUCACAUCGCCAAUACGGACAAGACGGUCAACCGCCGUACUGACGUAUAUGGCCUAAGUAACACAUACUCGGGGAUUCUACACACUAUCAAACCAUCUGUAACACGAAGAAACAAUCCUCUCUCGGAUAUCUCCAACCACACACAAACUACUAACACACAAUAACCCACCGUUGGGAUCAUCCAAGCGAUACCCACCGCCACACCAUAUUGUAUGAAAGCUAAACCCUUGCAAAGUUGGGAUAGUGAACAGUGUCGUUACCGAGAUUUUGAAUUUGUUCUCGGUUAUGCAGGAAAACCACCAUCUAACUAUUACAAACCAGACACCCUACCGUUGGAGAGUAACGAACAGUACGAUAGCGACUAGACAAAAGUGAGUCCCAUAUGAUGUUUCGUUGUGUUCCCCUUGCCAAUUUUGUGAAUAAAUUUACAGUUUCCCCUGAAGAAGACCGACAAAACCGGUCGAAACGUCGGGCAGUUUUAAUAUAAACAUCGCUUGAUUAUUUUUAACCGACUGAGAAAGCCGACCAAUCA